CCCUGCUGUGAGCAGAAGCCAUGGCACCAGGUGCUGAUGCACUGGGAAUGUUUUCCUGGUGUUUCCAUGGCCUGCCUUAGCCGGAGCUUCACCCUGCUUUCUGCUUGGGCACAAGGAUCUGCUUGCUGUUUUCUGCAAAUAGAAGGCGGGUUCCCAGGUGGACACCGUAUCCUGCAGUCCAGGGGACACACUGCUGCUCUGCAUGGUGAGAAGAGGAGGUCGGGGAAGUGCACGGAGAAAGGAAUAUCGAGCAGGUAUACCCAC
ensembl:lncRNA